rnacentral:tRNA from 1 species
AAUUUAUGAACUUGUACUUAAGUAUAUAUUUUGAAAAUAUAAUAAAGAAUUAAACUUCUAUAAAUUU